rnacentral:rRNA from 1 species
AACGAACGCUGGCGGCAGGCCUAACACAUGCAAGUCGAGCGCCCUUUCGGGGGAGCGGCGGACGGGUGAGUAACGCGUGGGAAUAUGCCCUUCUCUACGGAAUAGCCUCGGGAAACUGAGAGUAAUACCGUAUACGCCCUGUGGGGGAAAGAUUUAUCGGGGAAGGAUUAGCCCGCGUUGGAUUAGGUAGUUGGUGGGGUAAUGGCCUACCAAGCCGACGAUCCAUAGCUGGUUUGAGAGGAUGAUCAGCCACACUGGGACUGAGACACGGCCCAGACUCCUACGGGAGGCAGCAGUGGGGAAUCUUAGACAAUGGGGGCAACCCUGAUCUAGCCAUGCCGCGUGGGUGAUGAAGGCCUUAGGGUUGUAAAGCUCUUUCAGCUGGGAAGAUAAUGACGGUACCAGCAGAAGAAGCCCCGGCUAACUCCGUG